UAUACCACCCCCAGGAGUUCUGC
rnacentral:miRNA from 1 species